UACGUAGGGUGCAAGCGUUACUCGGAAUUACUGGGCGUAAAGCGUGCGCAGGCGGUUCUAUAAGACAGAUGUGAAAUCCCCGGGCUCAACCUGGGAACUGCAUUUGUGACUGUAGAGCUGGAGUACGGCAGAGGGGGAUGGAAUUCCGCGUGUAGCAGUGAAAUGCGUAGAGAUGUGGAGGAAUACCGAUGGCGAAGGCAGCCCCCUGGGCCAAUACUGACGCUCAUGCACGAAAGCGUGGGGAGCAAACAGG
rnacentral:rRNA from 1 species